rnacentral:lncRNA from 1 species
GGUUUUAGUCUCCUGUUAUAUAACUACCAUUCUCAAUCCAUAUUUAUUUUCGUUUGUUCGGUUAAAAGGCUUGAAGUUUUUGUUUUUUUGGUGUUAAACCAAAGACUAUUGUUAUUUGUUUGAUUUUAUGUUAUUUGAAUUUUAGACAAUUCUGAUGUCAACCAAUUGUUUCAUAUUAUAAUUUCUAAACGCAUGAAAAAUCAAAUCAAAUCUAGAUAAUAGUUGAAAAAAAAUAUAAAGAUAAAUCAUUUCAUUACAUUUUGGAAAAUGGUGAAAUGAAACAUUAAAAAGAAAAACAAUAUUUUAAUUUCCUAUAGAAUUAGAAUCCUCACUUGCGGUGAAUAUUUAAUUAUAUAGGUGUUCACUUCAACAUAUACAUAU